rnacentral:rRNA from 1 species
GUACACUCCUGCGGGAGGCAGCAGUAGGGAAUCUUCGGCAAUGGGGGCAACCCUGACCGAGCAACGCCGCGUGAGUGAAGAAGGUUUUCGGAUCGUAAAGCUCUGUUGUAAGUCAAGAACGAGUGUGAGAGUGGAAAGUUCACACUGUGACGGUAGCUUACCAGAAAGGGACGGCUAACUACGUGCCAGCAGCCGCGGUAAUACGUAGGUCCCGAGCGUUGUCCGGAUUUAUUGGGCGUAAAGCGAGCGCAGGCGGUUUGAUAAGUCUGAAGUUAAAGGCUGUGGCUCAACCAUAGUUCGCUUUGGAAACUGUCAAUCUUGAGUGCAGAAGGGGAGAGUGGAAUUCCAUGUGUAGCGGUGAAAUGCGUAGAUAUAUGGAGGAACACCGGUGGCGAAAGCGGCUCUCUGGUCUGUAACUGACGCUGAGGCUCGAAAGCGUGGGGAGCGAACAGGAUUAGAUACCCCAGUAGUCC